UACGUAGGGGGCAAGCGUUGUCCGGAUUUAUUGGGCGUAAAGAGCGCGUAGGCGGUUUUACAAGUCCCGUGUGAAAACUCGAGGCUCAACCUCGAGCUGUCGGUGGAAACUGUAAGGCUAGAGUCCGGAAGAGGAGAGUGGAAUUCCUGGUGUAGCGGUGAAAUGCGCAGAUAUCAGGAAGAACACCCGUGGCGAAGGCGGCUAUCUGGGACGGUACUGACGCUGAGACGCGAAAGCGUGGGGAGCGAACAGG
rnacentral:rRNA from 1 species